CACACUGACCUUUCACUCCCUCGAUGAGUCCGUCUCUCCCCCAAUCAAACCCCCAAUAAAUCUCUCCAAAACCACUUCUCCAAAAUCCCAAUUCUCCAUUUUCUUGAUUCCCAUUUCUCAAUUUUCAUCUCUGAUUUCAAUCUCCAAAUAUGGAAGCAUCAGCAGGAUUAUCACGAAUCGGACUAGCAGGUCUAGCAGUAAUGGGCCAAAACCUAGCACUCAACAUAGCAGAAAAAGGGUUCCCAAUCUCAGUCUACAACCGAACCACCUCCAAAGUCGACGAAACAAUCGAACGAGCAAAAUCAGAAGGAGAUCUUCCACUAACAGGUCAUUACUCGCCUCGUGAUUUCGUGUUGUCUUUGCAAAAACCUAGAUCUGUUAUCAUUUUAGUCAAAGCCGGUACUCCGGUCGAUCAGACCAUAUCGACUCUGUCGGAGUACAUGGAGGAAGGGGAUACCAUUAUUGAUGGUGGGAAUGAAUGGUAUGAGAACACUGAGCGUCGGAUUCGGGAGACCGAGCAGAAGGGGAUUUUGUAUUUGGGGAUGGGUGUUAGUGGUGGUGAAGAGGGAGCCAGGAAUGGACCCAGUAUGAUGCCUGGUGGGAGUUUGACGGCGUAUAAGAAUAUUGAGGAGAUUGUGAAGAAGGUUGCCGCGCAGGUGGAGGAUGGACCGUGUGUUACGUAUAUUGGCGAAGGUGGGUCGGGGAAUUUCGUGAAGAUGGUGCAUAAUGGGAUUGAGUAUGGUGAUAUGCAGUUGAUUAGUGAGGCGUAUGAUGUGUUGAAGAAUGUUGGUGGGUUGAGUAAUGAGGAGUUGGCGAGGAUUUUCGAUGAGUGGAAUAAGGGGGAGCUGGAGAGUUUUUUGGUUGAGAUUACUGCGGAUAUUUUUAAAGUUAAGGAUGAUUUGAGUGAAGGGGAGUUGGUUGAUAAGAUAUUGGACAAGACUGGGAUGAAAGGGACUGGGAAAUGGACGGUUCAACAAGCAGCGGAGUUGUCUGUUGCUGCGCCGACUAUUGCUGCUUCGUUGGAUUGUAGGUAUCUGAGUGGGUUGAAAGAGGAGAGGGAGAAUGCCGAGGCGAUUUUGAAGGAAGCUGGUAUGGUUGAUCAGGUUGGACCGGUCAGGUCUGGGAUUGAUAAGAAGAGGUUGAUUGAUGAUGUGAGACAAGCAUUGUAUGCUUCCAAGAUUUGUAGUUAUGCUCAGGGUAUGAAUUUGUUGAGAGCAAAGAGUAAUGAGAAAGGUUGGGGUUUGGAUUUGGGUGAAAUGGCGAGGAUUUGGAAAGGUGGGUGUAUCAUUAGAGCUGUGUUUUUGGAUAGGAUUAAACAAGCCUACCAGAGAAACCCACAACUGGCAAGUUUGGUUGUUGAUCCCGAGUUUGCAAAGGAAAUGGUGCAGAGACAAGCAGCAUGGAGGAGAGUUGUUGGUUUGGCUGUUCAAGCUGGAAUUAGUACUCCUGGAAUGUGCGCUAGUCUUGCUUACUUUGAUACUUACAGGCGCGCAAGACUGCCGGCAAAUCUUGUUCAAGCACAGAGAGAUUUGUUUGGUGCACACACUUACGAGCGCAUUGAUCGUCCUGGGGCAUUCCACACCGAAUGGACCAAGCUUGCUAGGCAGAGUAACUUCAAAUAAGCAGGCAGUUUUCCUCGUUAUCGGCUCAUUGCUGGCGAAAGCUGUACACUGUUACUUUAUAAUUUACUGGUCGCUAACUGCAGAGAUUGCAGCUCUGAGAACACAUUUCACAUCCAUCCUAAACUAGGUAGGGGUCCAUUACCCCUCCUGAAGUGGUUCGUUGAAGGAUACAUGAUGCUUGUGAUUUUACUGCCAAGCAUAAGCAGAUAUCAAUAUUGGUUCAUUUAGUAUGCAUGCGACUGUCAUUGAGUUUAGAUAAUGCAAGCAACAAAAUUCUGCUGCAUUAGUACUUGGCAACUGCUGUUGUAUGUGUCAGGUUACAGAUUUUGACAUCAUGUAUCUCAUUUCAGUAAUGGUAAUGGUUCUCAUCAAUUUGCUUAGGAAAGUUCAGUACAUACCAAUAGAA